AGUGAACGCUGGCGGUAGGCCUAACACAUGCAAGUCGAACGGCAGCACAGUAGGAGCUUGCUCUUACGGGUGGCGAGUGGCGGACGGGUGAGGAAUACAUCGGAAUCUACUUUUUCGUGGGGGAUAACGUAGGGAAACUUACGCUAAUACCGCAUACGACCUACGGGUGAAAGCAGGGGAUCUUCGGACCUUGCGCGAUUGAAUGAGCCGAUGUCGGAUUAGCUAGUUGGCGGGGUAAAGGCCCACCAAGGCGACGAUCCGUAGCUGGUCUGAGAGGAUGAUCAGCCACACUGGAACUGAGACACGGUCCAGACCCCUACGGGAGGCAGCAGUGGGGAAUAUUGGACAAUGGGCGCAAGCCUGAUCCAGCCAUACCGCGUGGGUGAAGAAGGCCUUCGGGUUGUAAAGCCCUUUUGUUGGGAAAGAAAAGCAGCAGGUUAAUACCCCGCUGUUCUGACGGUACCCAAAGAAUAAGCACCGGCUAACUUCGUG
rnacentral:rRNA from 1 species